rnacentral:rRNA from 1 species
UACGGGGGGAGCAAGCGUUGUUCGGAUUUACUGGGCGUAAAGGGCGCGUAGGCGGCCACCGCAAGUCGACUGUGAAAUCUCCGGGCUUAACCCGGAAAGGUCAGCCGAUACUGCGGGGCUAGAGUGCAGAAGGGGCAACUGGAAUUCUCGGUGUAGCGGUGAAAUGCGUAGAUAUCGAGAGGAACACCUGCGGCGAAGGCGGGUUGCUGGGCUGACACUGACGCUGAGGCGCGAAAGCUAGGGGAGCAAACAGG